UGCCAGCAGCCGCGGUAAUACGGAGGGUGCGAGCGUUAAUCGGAAUUACUGGGCGUAAAGCGUGCGCAGGCGGUUUGUUAAGCGGGAUGUGAAAGCCCCGGGCUCAACCUGGGAAUCGCAUUUUGAACUGACAAACUAGAGUCUUGUAGAGGGGGGUAGAAUUCCAGGUGUAGCGGUGAAAUGCGUAGAGAUCUGGAGGAAUACCAGUGGCGAAGGCGGCCCCCUGGACAAAGACUGACGCUCAGGCACGAAAGCGUGGGGAGCAAACAGGAUUAGAUA
rnacentral:rRNA from 1 species